rnacentral:rRNA from 1 species
AGCCUCUUAUGUGUAUGAGGUGAUGCCUGCCCACUGAAGUUUCAAGGGCCGUGGUAUUUUGACCAUGCAAAGGUAGCAUAAUCAUUUGCCUUCUAAUUAGGGGCUAGAAUGAACGGCUUCACGAGAGACUCGCUGUCUCUACCGCUAAAGACGAAGUUAAUUUUUAAGUGAAAAAGCUUAAAUUUACUUGGAGGACGAUAAGACCCUAUAGAUCUUUACACUCAUGCUCUCCCCAUGCGGCUGUCAUCUAAGGUAAGCUAGCGGUGUUCCGUUGGGGCGACGGCAGAAGUAGAGAAAACUUCUGUUCUCUCAAACAGUAAUAGCUGACUUUUGAUCCUCGCAUGAAUUAAGAACAAGUUACCUUAGGGAUAACAGCGUAAUUCUUCUUGAGAGACCAAAUCGACAGAAGAGUUUGCGACCUCGAUGUUGGUUCAGGGAACCUCGCUGGCGCAGCAGUAAGCAGAGGCAGUCUGUUCGACUAUUAAUUCCCU